UACGUAGGUGGCAAGCGUUGUCCGGAACUAUUGGGCGUAAAGCGCGCGCAGGCGGUCCUUUAAGUCUGAUGUGAAAGCCCACGGCUCAACCGUGGAGGGUCAUUGGAAACUGGGGGACUUGAGUACAGAAGAGAAGAGUGGAAUUCCACGUGUAGCGGUGAAAUGCGUAGAGAUGUGGAGGAACACCAGUGGCGAAGGCGACUCUUUGGUCUGUAACUGACGCUGAGGCGCGAAAGCGUGGGGAGCAAACAGG
rnacentral:rRNA from 1 species